rnacentral:rRNA from 1 species
GACGAACGCUGGCGGCGUGGAUUAGGCAUGCAAGUCGAACGGUAUCAUCCUUUCGGGGGUGAGAGAGUGGCGAACUGGUGAGUAACACGUAGGUUAUCUACCCUCAAGACGGGGACAACCCAGGGAAACUUGGGCUAAUACCGGAUGUGAGCAACUUUUAGUUGUUUGAAAGGUGGCGUAAGCUGUCGCUUGGGGAUGAGCCUGCGUCCUAUUAGUUAGUUGGUGAGGUAACGGCUCACCUAGGCAAUGAUAGGUAGGCGGCCUUAACGGGUGGUCGCCCACACUGGGAUUGAGAUACGGCCCAGACUCCUACGGGAGGCAGCAGUCGAGAAUAGUCUACAAUGGUCGGAAGACUGAUAGUGCGACGCCGCGUGAACGAUGAAUCCCUUCGGGGUGUAAAAGUUCUUUUAUAUGUGAGCAGUGCUUCUUAUAUUAACAGUAUGGGGAAGAGAUAUUAGCAUAUGAAUAAGCAACGGCUAACUCCGUGCCAGCAGCCGACGGUAAAA